UUGAAUACCACUCCCACCUGCAGAAAAUUGGCAACAUCUCCCAGGAGCCCUUGCUUUUUCCCUGGACCCUGGCAUCAUGGUUUCCAAUUUCAUGGGUUUUCUCAGAGUCCUGGGUUACCUGCUGCUGUUAGGAUUCCAGCUCAUCGGCUCACAUCCUUCCACUGAACACAGAAAGGUCCCUCAGCGGAUGGC